rnacentral:rRNA from 1 species
AUUGAACGCUGGCGGCAUGCUUUACACAUGCAAGUCGAACGGUAACAGGCCGCAAGGUGCUGACGAGUGGCGAACGGGUGAGUAAUGCAUCGGAACGUGCCCAGUCGUGGGGGAUAACGCAGCGAAAGCUGUGCUAAUACCGCAUACGAUCUAUGGAUGAAAGCGGGGGACCGUAAGGCCUCGCGCGAUUGGAGCGGCCGAUGUCAGAUUAGGUAGUUGGUGGGGUAAAGGCUCACCAAGCCAACGAUCUGUAGCUGGUCUGAGGGGACGACCAGCCACACUGGGACUGAGACACGGCCCAGACUCCUACGGGAGGCAGCAGUGGGGAAUUUUGGACAAUGGGCGCAAGCCUGAUCCAGCAAUGCCGCGUGCAGGAAGAAGGCCUUCGGGUUGUAAACUGCUUUUGUACGGAACGAAACGGCGAGCUCUAAUACAGUUUGCUAAUGACGGUACCGUAAGAAUAAGCACCGGCUAACUACGUGCCAGCCGCCGCAGUAAGAC